CCUGGCUCAGAUUGAACGCUGGCGGCAUGCCUUACACAUGCAAGUCGAACGGCAGCACGGGAGCUUGCUCCUGGUGGCGAGUGGCGAACGGGUGAGUAAUACAUCGGAACGUACCCAGGAGUGGGGGAUAACGUAGCGAAAGUUACGCUAAUACCGCAUAUUCUGUGAGCAGGAAAGCGGGGGAUCGCAAGACCUCGCGGUCUUGGAGCGGCCGAUGUCGGAUUAGCUAGUUGGUGAGGUAAAAGCUCACCAAGGCGACGAUCCGUAGCAGGUCUGAGAGGAUGAUCUGCCACACUGGGACUGAGACACGGCCCAGACUCCUACGGGAGGCAGCAGUGGGGAAUUUUGGACAAUGGGGGCAACCCUGAUCCAGCCAUGCCGCGUGAGUGAAGAAGGCCUUCGGGUUGUAAAGCUCUUUCGGCGGGGAAGAAAUGGCAACGGCUAAUAUCCG
rnacentral:rRNA from 1 species